rnacentral:rRNA from 1 species
CCUACGGGAGGCAGCAGUGGGGGAUAUUGGACAAUGGGGGGAACCCUGAUCCAGCGACGCCGCGUGAGUGAAGAAGUAUUUCGGUAUGUAAAGCUCUGUCAGCAGGGAAGAAAGAAAUGACGGUACCUGACCAAGAAGCCCCGGCUAACUACGUGCCAGCAGCCGCGGUAAUACGGAGGGGGCAAGCGUUAUCCGGAAUUACUGGGUGUAAAGGGAGCGUAGACGGUUAAGUAAGUCUGGAGUGAAAGGCCGGGGCCCAACCCCGGGACUGCUCUGGAAACUAUUGAACUUGAGUGCAGGAGAGGUAAGCGGAAUUCCUAGGGUAGCGGUGAAAUGCGUAGAUAUUAGGAGGAACACCAGUGGCGAAGGCGGCUUACUGGACUGUAACUGACGUUGAGGCUCGAAAGCGUGGGGAGCAAACAGGAUUAGAUACCCGUGUAGUC